rnacentral:rRNA from 1 species
AACGAACGCUGGCGGCAUGCCUAACACAUGCAAGUCGAACGAGACCUUCGGGUCUAGUGGCGCACGGGUGCGUAACGCGUGGGAACCUGCCCUUAGGUUCGGAAUAACUCCCCGAAAGGGGUGCUAAUACCGGAUAAUGUCUUCGGACCAAAGAUUUAUCGCCUUUGGAUGGGCCCGCGUUGUAUUAGCUAGUUGGUAGGGUAAAAGCCUACCAAGGCGACGAUCCAUAGCUGGUCUGAGAGGAUGAUCAGCCACACUGGGACUGAGACACGGCCCAGACUCCUACGGGAGGCAGCAGUGGGGAAUAUUGGAAAACGGGCGAAAGGAUGAUCCAGCAAGGCCGCGUGAGUGAUGAAGGUCUUAGGGUUGUAAAGCUCUUUUACCCGGGAUGAUAAUGACAGUACCGGGAGAAUAAGCACCGGCUAACUCCGUG